AUUAAAUCACAUUAUGCUUUAUAGAUGGCUCAACACAGGAUGGCUGUGGAGCAAUCCACCGCAGCCCUGCUAAUUGUAAUGGGUGUCAUUAUGGGUACCCUCGCUGACAUGCCACAUAUGAAUUCAACUGGAUCUCCCACAACGUUUGGAGCAUUGAAUACCACCUCAAACACUACAAACAGUCCAUCAACUCCAACCUUAGCGCCAACUUUUAAGUUGAAGGCUACAAUAUCAAAGCCUUUCACUGCAGAGUUAACAAAUCAAACAACUACAGAAUUUCAAGAUCUGGCAUCGGCUGUUGUGACAUUUUGUGAUGGGAUCUUCCUGGAGACCUAUGGGUUUAUUUUCAUCACCACUAAUGUCCUGGGAUUCAGCCCCUCCACCAAUGGAAACACUACAAUAGAGGUAGAACUUGUUUUCAAUAACAAAGCAUCACCUGAAGUGACCUUUUCAAAGGCCGAUGUACUGGAGACCAUGACGACUGCAGCAACCAACACCUCCGCUGGCGGAAUCUCCUAUGAUCCUGAAUCUGUUGUUGUCACAGGUAGGGUGACACUAUUUGAACCUAUGAUAAAAGUAACAGCACUUUGCUCAUAACAAAUAACUUGUCGCUCAAGUAUGUCGCUCUACCCUGAUUCUUGCGCUUAUGCAUGGACAAAUACAUAGUUACAAGUGACAUGUUCCUUCUAAGAAGCGCCAACUCCAACGACAGCAACAACAACAACUUCUACGGCAACUCCAGAUCCAAUAGCAGGGAGUACAUUUAGACCAAGUGAAGGAGGCUGAACAGUUUGGAGUUCGUGCUGGGCAGCUCGGCGUGCAUGAUGACUGUGACAUUCUGGAUGGAAACUUUAGUCUGGUGUUCGGCAGCCCCGAGUCCUAGCUGCUAAAUAAUACAUGGCGACGGAUGCUAGCCUCAAGCAUUUACCAGGAAAACCUCAUUGGCAUCGUCGUUGACGAGGUCCACGUUACAUACAAAAGGGGCGAGGCUUCCAAAGGCGAGUCGGCAUUCCGAGACUGUUUUGCCAAGCUCGGAGAGAUAAGAUCUAUAGCCAAGGAGGGUGAGUUGAAUGCACGGCCCUCUGUGUUGCUCAUACCUUACAUGUUGUGUAAUAUAUAUAAUUUGUAUGCUAUCUGUUGCAAGGAUUAGUUACUGUCCCUGUAAUGAAGCCGAAUUGCCAGAUUAUUUGGAUUAAGUGCAUUCAUGUGUUCAUAGUGCUGUUUAUUAAGUCCUCCAUGCCAGUCUAUUAAACAAACACGUUUUGUGGAGCACGUUAAUUGUCUUAGAACACUCCCAUUCAGAAUGCAUUGGUUUACAUUUCGUUCUGUGUAGCACGCAAAAAGUCGGACUAUCAUGCUCUGGAACAUGCUUCAAUAGAUUAACGUUCGUGCGCAGGAGCACGCAAUCGCGUGAUACCGGGUUGUAUAUAGGCUCUCUCUCAGCACCCCCCCCUCGGACUGACUUCCCGCGUCCCUGGGAAGUAACCCACAGUUCGCAGGACAUCAGCACCCCUGAUGCUGUGGUAGAGUCAAGCACUGAGGCCGAAAGGGAGGCCAGCCAACCAAGGAGAGAGAAGAUGAGCGGCCAUAGGCCUGGGGUUAGGUGGCCAGUUGCAGCAGAAGGUAGGACUUGGGAAGUUGUUAAUAGCGAUCUGGUUAGCAUUCUGGGACGGCUUAAAGGGACGGCUGAAAGCAAAUUAGAGACAAUGGGGGACAUUAUCUACAGUUACGGUAAAGAAAGAUUUAGGAUUGUUGAGAAAAGGACGAAACGGCAACAUGAGUUCAUCAAGUCUAGGCGCCAGCAAGAGAUAGAUAGACUCAUCCAGGAGAGGAGGCAGCUUAAGAAGCAGUGGAGAAAAGCCACAGAUACCGAAAAGGAAGGUAUUGAUUGUCUACAGGCAGCUGUGAGGGAGCGGUUGGCAGUGCUAAGAAGAGCAGAAAAUAUUAGGAAAAAUAGGAAGAAGAAAUCGCGAGCUAGGGUAGCAUUUUAUUAGCCUGGCGCCGCCCACCUCCCUACUUCCGCUCAAUUUUCAUUUCACUUCAGUACUAGGUCUGGGUCUGCUUAAUGUAAAUGCGUUCCAUGUAAACCAGAUUUCUGGCGGUCCAAUCAGCGAACAGAGGGAGUGGCUGAGAACGAUGACGCCUAGGUUGCGCGCCAGUUUCAGUUGUAGUCAGAGGAAGACAAUGGAGAAGGAUACGAGAGAAGCUAUUCGGUCUGUUGUGGGAUCGCUGCCGAAAAUCGAUCAAUUAAAGCCGGAGCAAGAACAAGCUUUGGUGAGUUUUGUUGGUGGCCAUGAUGUUGUGGCGCUUCCUCCACCGGGUUCGGGAAAAGUUUGAUUUUCCAGCUGGCUCCGUUAGUGGUAAAGGAGUUAGCUAAGGCGAACGCUAGCAAUGCUAACCCGAUAGUUGUUCUCGUCUCCCCUUUUGUGGCACUUAUGGAGGACCAAGUGAAGGAGGCAGAACAGUUUGGAGUUUGUGCUGGGCAGCUCGGCGUGCAUGAUGACUGUGACAUUCUGGAUGGAAACUUUAGUCUGGUGUUCGGCAGCCCCGAGUCCUGGCUGCUAAACAAUACAUGGCGACGGAUGCUAGCCUCAAGCAUUUACCAGGAAAACCUCAUUGGCAUCGUCGUUGACGAGGUCCACGUUACAUACAAAAGGGGCGAGGCUUCUAAAGGCGAGUCGGCAUUCCGAGACUGUUUUGCCAAGCUCGGAGAGAUAAGAUCUAUAGCCAAGGAGGGUACAAAUGUUUUGGCUCUGACUGCCUCCGCUGACAUCAAGUCCAGAAGCAGAGUCAGCAGACUUCUCCAUAUGGACAAUGCCGUUUCCAUCAUUGCCAGUCCCAAUAAGACAAACAUCCGUUUUGGAUUGUGCAAGGUUCCCAGUCAUCACAUGAACUGCCUGGACUGGAUUGUGCAACAUGCAAAAGACAAGGGCUCAACGAUGCAACCAAUAUUAAUUUACUGCCAAAGCCUGAAAUCA